AUCUACUUCUUGCUAGCUGACUCUCCACUGCCUUCUUGGCUUGUGUACUUCGAUGAAGCAAGCCGCCAUGGUGGGGAGGCCCACAUGGCAAGGGACUGAGGGCCCCUUUGUGUCAACAGCCAGCGAGGAACUGAGGCCCGCAGCCCAACAGCCCGUGAGGAACUGAAUCCUGCCAGCAACUACACGCUCUUAGAACCUUGAGACGGCAGCAGCCCAGCCAACACCUUGAUGGCCAUCUGUGAGCAUCGCUGAGCAGAGGACCCAGCUAGGCCCUGCCUGGGCUCCUGACCCAGAGAAACUGGUGAGCAGUAGGAUAGAUGGUGCCACUGCAGCAGUGAAUACACCUGAAGGACGGCCUUUGCAACCCCAGGACCCCCAUGGGGGUUGGAUCAAGGGGCACAUCUCCCACCUCAAUGGUGCCUCCCUCGUGAGCAUCUGGGCCCUGCAUGUGGGAUCUUAGUUACCCGACCAGGGAUCAAACCUGCACCCCCUGCAUUUGAAGUGCAGAGUCUUAACCACUGGACCACCAGGGAAGUCCCCCGUCCCUACUCUUGAACAGGGGCACAGAUCCUUGAGGCAUCGGCUGUCUGCCAUGGGCUACAGGAAACCCCUGGAUAAGUAUUUUUUUUUCCAGCUUUAUUGAGAUACAAUUGAUAUAACGUGUUAGUUUAAGGUGUAUAAUGUGGUGACUUGAUUCAUGAAUAUAUUGCAAAAUGAUUACUACAAUAAGGUUAGUUGACGCAUCCAUCACCUCACAUAGUUAGCACUUUGUUGUUGUUGUUGAGACCAUUUAAGUCUGGGAUGUGGUGAGAACAUUUAAGAGCUACUCUCUUAGCAACUUUCAAGUGUGUGAUACAGUACUGGAGUCUUUAUCUGCUGUGGGGUAAGAGGUAGGGAUAAAGCCAGGGUUGAAAAUGAGGAAGGAGGGGAUAAUAGAUGAACUGAGGAUGUUAGUUGGUUAUUUUGGUUAAAAGUUUAGCCAAAUGAUGUUAUCAUUGAUCAGAUACUAGCUGUAGCAUAUAGAGAGAUAGACACUGGUGCUAAGUUGCAGAGAAGGAAGACACUUUGUGGACUGUAAUAGACAUAUAUGUACGAGAAGAGAUCUUGAGCUGGGAAAAGACUUCUUAAAUAUGAUCCACAAAGUGCUAACGAUAAGGCAAAAAGUUGGUAGGUUUAUCUACAUCAAAAUAAAGGUUCUCUAACUUCCAUAUGUGCAGAGACCACCUAUUUCUUAAAAACACAGAUUACCAGAGAUUCUCAUGCAGUAGGCAAAUUGUAUAAAUUUACAAUGAAAUAAAUGAUAUCUGAAAAGGGUAAUAAAUACUCACUAUGCAUCAUAGCUUAAUCAUUUUACUAUGGUUUACUAUCAUCUGUGUUCUUGAGGUUAUUUUUAGCUCUUGUAUCCAUAUUUAGGUAAUAGUAUGUAAUGUUGUGCUAAUAUGCAUCUUUUCCCCAUUCAUGUUGGUUUUGAAAUCAGCCAUGGUGGGAGUAUUUACACCAGGGAAAUUGGAAAAGGCCAGAAAUCAACAUCCUUCCUCCUCUCUUUUAGAGACCUGGUUGUUACACAUUUACCAGCACUCCACUGGAUAUGGUCAUUAAAGAAAUCAGGAGUGGUAUCAGUAGUGAGGAAAAUCAAAGCAUGAACUAUCCGAAGGGCAGAGAAAACCUUGUAUAUUUAUUGCCCAAGCAGUAGUAUAUAGUAGAGUACAGCAGGGGUGAAGGUGUGGCAACUUGACCCAAUUUUUUUGCACCCAUAUGCUCUCCAGAUUCCUUCAAAGUCUAGCCGGGAUGGUUGCAGCCAAAAGCAGAAAUGGUGGGAAGCAACUCUGGGGAUGGUUCCCAAUUCCAUGUUGAACUGGCAAUCAAAUGAUUCUCUUGCCAAGAUGAGAUUAGUCAAUGGUGCCAUCUAGUGUUGAAGAACAGAUUGGCUCCAAAGAGGAAUGCUCAGAGAAAGAUUUCUCUUGACUUAGGACUUGGAAACACACUAACUAACGUAGUUUCCUUUUCCUUUCUUUUCCUCUAUUUUCUUUCCCUACUUCCAUUUCCCUGUUUCCGGAGUCAUUUUUCUACCUACUCCCCCGAUGGGAAUAGCCAUUAGUUUUUUUUUGUUUGUUUUUUUUGAAAGAUAUGAACUCAGUGCUUCUUCCAGGCAAAAUAGAUAAAUGCUGAGAGUUGAAAGGCAUAGAUACGGAAAUCAGCACUUGCCUAUAUUAUGUAUAAUAAUUUGGAAUGAAUUUGUUUAGGGAGGCUGUAGAGACAUUCUCUUGUGGGUCACAUAAAUCAGAUGCUUCUCUACUUUCCCAACACAUCCCAUAUCCUUCCUGUUUCCUGUGUCAGGGGCAGAUGGAGUAGUUUGGUUAGCAACCGCAGAUUCAUUCUCAGGCCUUAUUUCUGCUUCAUAGAUCUUUUCGUGGGAAAAUGGUAGAAGAAAAGGCCUGUUCAUAACUUCCAAGUGAAUAGGAUCUUUCAUUCUUUUAUGAGGACCUGUGUUAAUAAGUUCUUUUAUUUGAAGUGAAGGUAAUUGUGCACGGCUAAGUUCUCAUAGCUGGAGGGUCCUCCAGAAACGAGAGUGAGAUUCUGGGGUUGCUAAUUCCCGCUGGAAAGGUUUACUUUGCAUCUGGCACAUUGGAGAAGUAAUAUGGUAGUCCUUCAAUGACGAUUACUUCCCUUUGUCCCUUUAGUGAUUGAUGAUCUGAGUAAAAUGAAAGAACAUUUAACUAAUUAGUGGGCCCAAAGCUGUUGUUCCACCCUGAUAGUAUCCAUCUUUUCACUAAGGAUCACUGACCUCUAAGUUUAGGGAUAUUUCAGAUGUUAGUUAUCAGACAGAAAACUAGUAAGGAAUAAAUGCCCUCCUCUCUGUAACGUGUGUAGCAGGAGCAGCCUGAACUCCCUAAGUCAUUGUGGAAUGUUUUGAAAAUGGAAGGAAGGGAAUGUCAUAACUCUGGAUAUGAGGUCCAGAAUUGGGAUCAGACUUUUUCUAGGAUACUUUUUCAAUGUGUUCAAAAACAACAGAAGUAGUUUAGAAAUCUCAAGACUGCUGAGCUAUCCAAACACAUGGCUUUAUUUUAGGUGAGGGCCAUGGGUUUUGCAGUCAAGUGAGCUGCUAUUUGUAUAAGCAAGACUUCAUCAAUAUUCUUACAAGGCUCACCCCCCUUAUAUAGGAUGGCAGCAAUUUUGCCUUAGAAAAUGAGCCUACGUGACUCUAGAGGCUACAAAUGAAUUUUGUUAGAAGUAGGAACUGAAGAGCCUGUUAGGAAGGUAGAAGUCACUGUUGCCACAUGUGGCUCAAAUUAUUAAAUAUAACAAGGCCUGGGUAUUCCCACGUUCUUAUAUGCUCAAUAAACAUUCCAAUUUAUCAAAUGGUGACAAACUUAAAAGCCUGUGGCAUUGUCCUGUUAGACCCUGGGAAAGCUUUUUAAGUGCAGAUCAUACUACUAAAGGUGGAUAUGAUCCUGUGUGGUCUCAAGUUGCCCCCGAUCCUACAUAAAGGACCCACUCUUUGGGAUGACAUUUUCCUCCUUCCCGCUGCCUAGCCUCAGAAUCAUUGCAUCCUGGCUCUUUCCUGCCCACCGUGGAGAAAGUUUCCCUUUCUCAGUCUGUUCUAAACAUGGCAACCAAAUCUCAAAAACGUCAACACACUCCUGUCAUUUUAAAUGCAUCUCAUGCAUCUCAAGCUUUGAACUAUGUAUUUUGUAUUUCUUUUAUUCGGUUAGAUGUAACAACCAUCUGACUUUUGACUGCUAUAGACAAAACUUGGUUCUCUAGUUUUUUUCCCUUUACUAUUUCUAUUUUUUCUCAGAAUCUUAA